ACGUGACCUGACAGGCCAACUCGGGGGCCUCAAACGCUGUUGCUGCUCCUGCUUUAACGCCGUCACGGCGCUGCCUGCCGAGCCGAGACACGACUGUCCAAUCACUGCCAAGCUGUCUUAAUUCAAAUGAAUUGGACAUCUAUCGCCAUUAACAGCAUCCUUUGAGCCGACGACUGAAAGAUGAAGAAGAAGAUGCCGAAGUACUGGUUGAUAAUGUCCGGACCCUUCUUGCCCUCUUUGGCCGCCUGCACAUUGCCUGAGAUGGUGAGGUAAGUGCACUUGGCUGACCAUAGAGGUGAGCCACCCAAACCCAGGAUCACUGAGGUAGGGAUCAACGUGUACCUGAAAAAAAAAAUUCAUCUUGAAAA